GACGAACGCUGGCGGCGUGCCUAACACAUGCAAGUCGAACGGAGAGGCUAAGAACAAGACUUCGGUCAAGUGAUUAGUUUUCUUAGUGGCGGACGGGUGAGUAACGCGUGAGAAACCUGCCUCUCAGUGGGGGACAACAGUUGGAAACGACUGCUAAUACCGCAUAACACUUUAGUACCGCAUGGUACAGAAGUCAAAGCUUAAUGUGCUGAGAGAUGGUCUCGCGUCUGAUUAGCUAGAUGGCGGGGUAACGGCCCACCAUGGCGACGAUCAGUAGCCGAACUGAGAGGUUGAUCGGCCACAUUGGGACUGAGACACGGCCCAGACUCCUACGGGAGGCAGCAGUGGGGGAUAUUGCGCAAUGGGGGAAACCCUGACGCAGCAACGCCGCGUGCAGGAUGACGGCC
rnacentral:rRNA from 1 species